AGUGGCGCACGGGUGAGUAAAGCGUAUGCAACCUGCCUUUAACAGGGGGAUAGCCCGGAGAAAUCCGGAUUAAUACCCCAUCGUAUUUAGAUUCCGCAUGGGAUUUAAAUUAAAGCUCCGGCGGUUAAAGAUGGGCAUGCGUGACAUUAGUUAGUUGGUGAGGUAACGGCUCACCAAGACUACGAUGUCUAGGGGUUCUGAGAGGAUGAUCCCCCACACUGGUACUGAGACACGGACCAGACUCCUACGGGAGGCAGCAGUGAGGAAUAUUGGUCAAUGGGCGCAAGCCUGAACCAGCCAUCCCGCGUGAAGGAAGACGGCCCUAUGGGUUGUAAACUUCUUUUGUACACCAAGAAAUGUCCGUACGUGUAUGGAUUUGACGGUAGUGUAUGAAUAAGCAUCGGCUAACUCCGUGCCAGCAGCCGCGGUAAUACGGAGGAUGCAAGCGUUAUCCGGAUUCAUUGGGUUUAAAGGGUACGUAGGUGGCUGAUUAAGUCAGUGGUGAAAACCUGCCGCUUAACGGUAGGCGUGCCAUUGAUACUGAUUAGCUUGAGUACAGUUGAGGUAGGCGGAAUGUGUAGUGUAGCGGUGAAAUGCUUAGAUAUUACACAGAACUCCGAUUGCGAAGGCAGCUUACUAAACUGACACUGACACUGAGGUACGAAAGCGUGGGUAGCGAACAGGAUUAGAUACCCUGGUAGUCCACGCCGUAAACGAUGCUCACUCGCUGUUUGCGAUACACAGCAAGCGGCUUAGCGAAAGCGAUAAGUGAGCCACCUGGGGAGUACGCCGGCAACGGUGAAACUCAAAGGAAUUGACGGGGGCCCGCACAAGCGGAGGAACAUGUGGUUUAAUUCGAUGAUACGCGAGGAACCUU
rnacentral:rRNA from 1 species